rnacentral:misc_RNA from 1 species
AUGUUGGAAGUAAUUUAAAACCCUUUGAUUCUUGAAGGUUUGAUAUGUCGUGAAGCAGCUUUGCAUGCAAAGCCAAAAAAUUUUCGUAAUAUGAUUAUUGGAGGAGAUUUCGCUACUGUCAUACAAGCAUUGAAUGUAUCCCCAACGCCUCUUGCAAUACAGGAUAUAGUUCUGAACUUCUUUGAAGUAGCCAGAUUUUUCCAGGAGGUUACAUUCUCCUUUGUCAAUAGGGGUUGCAAUCAAUCAGCUCACUCUCUUGUACACAAGUAUCUACAUGAUACUUCCUUUAGCUGUAAUCCCUGUAUCAUACGCAUUAAUCCCUACUUCCCUCAGUAAUUAAUCCCAUAUUGUGGUCUUUACCAUAAAAAAGCAAAAAUCAUUGAAAUGAUAAUAAGUUGUGCUAAAUAUUUUAUGCCCAGUCUGCCAAGAGAAAUAAAAACAUUAAAAACAAUGAAAACAAUCGUCAGCAAGCAAGGGACGGCUGUAAUCAAUGGCACAAGGAUCGGGGCAGGAAUGCGCUCAGGAAAUGUCUUAACUCAUCCAUGUCGAGCAACAAUUCAUUCAAUCGAGUGUCAAGAGAAAAGAAAAAAUGAAAAAUUCAUCCAGGUGGAGAAGUCCUUAUCAGCACAUUUAAUUGGCGUGACUAGCUUAUCUAAAGUUCAUCUGAGAAAUUUAAUCUACUGCCAUUGUUAAUAAAAGUACAGAUAUAAAGAAAUACAUAUAAAAUAACUGCACUCGCUAGCGGUUCUCCAAAUGGUUUUUGCUACCGCAUGUGUGAGAAGUAACCUUGUUCUAUGAAUUUCAAGGUGAACAUCUGGUGGCGGCAGAUUUUUUUUUUUUUUUUUUUUU